rnacentral:rRNA from 1 species
CCCUUAGAUGUUCUGGGCCGCACGCGCGCUACACUGAUGCAUUCAACGAGUUCCUACCUUGGCCGAGAGGCCUGGGCAAUCUUUUGAACUUGCAUCGUGAUAGGGAUAGAUUAUUGCAAUUAUUAAUCUUGAACGAGGAAUUCCCAGUAAACGCAGAUCAUCAAUCUGCAUUGAUUACGUCCCUGCCCUUUGUACACACCGCCCGUCGCACCUACCGAUUGAAUGGUCCGGUGAAGCCUCGGGAUUGUGGUUAGUUUCCUUCAUUGGAAGUUAGCCGCGAGAACUUGUCUAAACCUUAUCAUUUAGAGGAGGGUGAAGUCGUAACA